rnacentral:rRNA from 1 species
AUCCCGCGAACCAUCGAGUUUUUGAACGCAAGUUGCGCCCGAAGCCAUCCGGCCGAGGGCACGUCUGCCUGGGUGUCACGC